AGCAGCCGCGGUAAUUCCAGCUCCAAUAGCGUAUAUUAAAGUUGUUGCAGUUAAAAAGCUCGUAGUUGAAUUUCGGGGUCAGUAGAUUGGUCGUGCCACUGGUAUGUACUGGUCUCACUGGCUCCUCCUUCCUGAUGAACCGUAAUGCCAUUAAUUUGGUGUUGCGGGGAGACUGGACUGUUACUUUGAAGAAAUUAGAGUGUUUAAAGCAGGCUAACGCUUGAAUACAUUAGCAUGGAAUAAUGAAAUAGGACGUUCGAUCUUAUUUUGUUGGUUUCUAAGAUUGACGUAAUGAUUAAUAGGGAUAGUUGGGGGCAUUAGUAUUCAAUUGUCAGAGGUGAAAUUCUUGGAUUUAU
rnacentral:rRNA from 1 species